rnacentral:rRNA from 1 species
UACGUAGGUGGCAAGCGUUGUCCGGAAUUAUUGGGCGUAAAGCGCGCGCAGGCGGCUUCUUAAGUCUGAUGUGAAAUCUCGGGGCUCAACCCCGAGCGGCCAUUGGAAACUGGGAAGCUUGAGUACAGAAGAGGAGAGUGGAAUUCCACGUGUAGCGGUGAAAAUGCGUAGAUAUGUGGAGGAACACCAGUGGCGAAGGCGACUCUCUGGUCUGUAACUGACGUGAGGCGCGAAAGCGUGGGGAGCAAACAGG